rnacentral:sRNA from 1 species
GGGGCUGCAAGGGGCGCCCCAAGUAGGAGGGAUCCUACUUGGGCGCCUCCUCCAAGUCGGCCUCCCCCCUUCCAUAUACAUUGGUGGGGGAAGGAAAGAGAGGGGGGAGAGCAGGAAAGGGGGAGGCCAAAUCCUCCCCUUUCCUU